GACGAACGCUGGCGGCGUGCCUAAUACAUGCAAGUCGAACGCAGUGGGGACGGGUGAGUCACACGUGUGUAACCUCCCCAUCAGAGGGGAUAACACUUGGAAACAGGUGCUACACCGAUAUUGAUGGAUGGACCCGCGGUGCAUUAGCUAGUGGGUGAGGUAACGGCUCACCAAGGCCACGAUGCAUAGCCGACCUGAGAGGGUGAUCGGCCACACUGUGACUGAGAAACGGCCCAGACUCCUACGGGAGGCAGCAGUAGGGAAUCUUCGGCAAUGGACGAAAGUCUGACCGAGCAACGCCGCGUGAGUGAAGAAGGUUUUCGGAUCGUAAAACUCUGUUGUUAGAGAAGCGGUAUCUAACCAGAAAGCCACGGCUAACUACGUGCCAGCCGCCGCGGUAAUUC
rnacentral:rRNA from 1 species